UAUUUCCUUUGCUGAUGAUGACAUGGAAUGAUGCAUUUAAAGUCAUUUUUAAUUGAUGAAGUGGCAUGUCAACCACCAAACGAACAUGUAACUCACCCAAAUUAAAUUAGCCAUACAACAAAUCUUUAAUUCAACCGCAUCAUGAAUACUACUACAGUAAUUUUCAAAAAAAAGAAAAAAAGGCUCCCAAAUUCAGUUGAAAUGUAAAUCUUUAACUAAGUCGUAUCGUUUAAU
rnacentral:lncRNA from 1 species